UGCAGUCGAACGGCAGCAUGAUCUAGCUUGCUAGAUUGAUGGCGAGUGGCGAACGGGUGAGUAAUACAUCGGAACGUGCCCUGUAGUGGGGGAUAACUAGUCGAAAGAUUAGCUAAUACCGCAUACGACCUGAGGGUGAAAGUGGGGGACCGCAAGGCCUCAUGCUAUAGGAGCGGCCGAUGUCUGAUUAGCUAGUUGGUGGGGUAAAGGCCCACCAAGGCGACGAUCAGUAGCUGGUCUGAGAGGACGAUCAGCCACACUGGGACUGAGACACGGCCCAGACUCCUACGGGAGGCAGCAGUGGGGAAUUUUGGACAAUGGGCGAAAGCCUGAUCCAGCAAUGCCGCGUGUGUGAAGAAGGCCUUCGGGUUGUAAAGCACUUUUGUCCGGAAAGAAAUGGCUCUGGUUAAUACCUGGGGUCGAUGACGGUACCGGAAGAAUAAGGACCGGCUAACUACGUGCCAGCAGCCGCGGUAAUACGUAGGGUCCAAGCGUUAAUCGGAAUUACUGGGCGUAAAGCGUGCGCAGGCGGUUGUGCAAGACCGAUGUGAAAUCCCCGAGCUUAACUUGGGAAUUGCAUUGGUGACUGCACGGCUAGAGUGUGUCAGAGGGGGGUAGAAUUCCACGUGUAGCAGUGAAAUGCGUAGAGAUGUGGAGGAAUACCGAUGGCGAAGGCAGCCCCCUGGGAUAACACUGACGCUCAUGCACGAAAGCGUGGGGAGCAAACAGGAUUAGAUACCCUGGUAGUCCACGCCCUNNNCGAUGUCAACUAGUUGUUGGGNA
rnacentral:rRNA from 1 species